rnacentral:lncRNA from 1 species
GAGCUGUCUGUCUCCUCCAUCUGUGCUACGCAGCGAGUUGAGAAGGUCAAGGGGAUGUUUGCGCGCAGCACACACGCUGAACUUUGCAGGCCAGUUUGCAAGGGGAAACCAGCUAUUGUCACACACACUCCAAGCAUGUCACGCUGAGGGGCAAAGCUGCAGGCGUCCAGUUUGAGGUCUUCUCCUAGAAUGCUGGUUGCUUAGCAACAAGAG